UACGGGGGGGGCAAGCGUUGUUCGGAAUUACUGGGCGUAAAGGGCUCGUAGGCGGCCAACUAAGUCGGAUGUGAAAUCCCCAGGCUCAACUUGGGAACUGCAUCCGAUACUGGAUGGCUUGAAUUCGGCAGAGGAGACUGGAAUUCCUGGUGUAGCAGUGAAAUGCGUAGAUAUCAGGAGGAACACCGAUGGCGAAGGCAGGUCUCUGGGCUGACACUGACGCUCAUGCACGAAAGCGUGGGGAGCAAACAGG
rnacentral:rRNA from 1 species